UCCAGGCCCUACGGGGCGCAGCAGGCGCCGAAACCUUUACACUGCACGAAAGUGCGAUAAGGCUAUACCGAGUGCCACCCGCUGAGGGUGGCUUUUCCUAGGUCUAAAUAGCCUAGGGAAUAAGGGGAGGGCAAGCCUGGUGUCAGCCGCCGCGGUAA
rnacentral:rRNA from 1 species